rnacentral:rRNA from 1 species
GACAGAGGGUGCAAACGUUGCUCGGAUUUACUGGGCGUAAAGCGCAUGUAGGCGGGAGACUAAGUCGGGUGUGAAAUCCCUGGGCUCAACCUAGGAACUGCAUCCGAAACUGUUCACCUUGAGUAGUGGAGAGGAAAGCGGAAUUCCCGGUGUAGAGGUGAAAUUCGUAGAUAUCGGGGGAGACACCAGUGGCGAAGGCGGCUUUCUGGACACUAACUGACGCUGAGAUGCGAAAGCGUGGGGAGCAAACAGG